rnacentral:lncRNA from 1 species
AAAUCUAGAAGUUCAUAAAUUCUAACCAGUUACAAAUAAUCAGAGUCCAAUAACCAAUAACAUACGGCCAACUCAUCUAAGACCAACGUGGCAUAUGACUGUCGUAGCAGAUCAUGGAGAUAACCUGUAUCCCAUCGUAUCCAAUCCCUUAUCAUGAGAAAUAUUGUCAGAAAUGACCACGUGGCAAGAAAGGAAGAAAGUCGAGACAUUAAACCAACGUUUGCGCGCGAAGCAUCUCGAAAACCGUAGAACUUCUCGAAUUUCCCAAGUCAUUUCAUAGAGUAUAAAUAGGAAAAUGGCGAAGCAACUGAUCAGAGAAAAAACAUUUGAUUUUCGGAGCAGUUACAAAGAGAGAAGCAAAGUUCGAGCACUAAAGGAUUUGGGUUUGUUGGGUUGGUGGAUCGAUUUGUACCGGAAACCGAGUCAUCUGGAUUUGUGGAACCGAUUGGACGGAGCCUUUCUGUAAGAUAUAUGGAUUUAUAUCUAGAUAUAUGGACUUAUAUCUACACACAUAUGAACANN